GGCCUGGCUCCUGUCUAAAGGGGGCGCCCGGGCACGGCGACCGGGAACCUGGGCCCACAUCGCUUUAACUCUCCUUGCCGAGAAGGGGCCGGUACGGUUGCAGACGUCGAUUUAUGUAGAACUCGGUGGCAUUUUUCUUGGUUGCAUCACCCUGUAUCACUGCGCGGGGGCCAAAUAUGGUAAAAUAGUCAUAAUCUCGAGGUUUGUGAGUUCGAGGCCAGCAUUGGGCCCUGCAUGCAGCACGGAGCCUGCCUGGGAUUCUCUCGCCGCCCUUCCCCCGCCACUGGCAGUGUCUCUGUCUCUCUCAAAAUAAAU